AGGUUGUGGUGUGGGCACUCUCUCUGUAUCUCUUUGAACCUAUUCCAUGCUUCCUUCAAUGUCUCAUCAAGUUCUUGAAUGAAGAUAGCAAGUUCAUGUCUGAUUUC
rfam:Beta vulgaris subsp. vulgaris Bvchr8_un.sca006.con0008.1, whole genome shotgun sequence.